CGCAUCUGUGCAUGCAGCAUAUCAAUAAGCGGAGGAAAAGAAACUAACAAGGAUUCCCUUAGUAACGGCGAGUGAAGCGGGAAGAGCUCAAAUUUGAAAUCUUCAAGGUUUUACCUUGACGAAUUGUAGUUUAAAGAAGUGUUUUCUGCUGAAGUUUUGGUAAAAGUUCUUUGGAAUAGGACAUCAUAGAGGGUGAGAAUCCCGUAUUUGACAAUUAUUUUCAGCUUUGUGAUACACUUUCAAAGAGUCGGAUUGUUUGGGAAUGCAGUCCAAAAUGGGUGGUAAAUUUCAUCUAAAGCUAAAUAUUGGCGAGAGACCGAUAGCGAACAAGUACCGUGAGGGAAAGAUGAAAAGAACUUUGAAAAGAGAGUUAAACAGUACGUGAAAUUGUCAAAAGGGAAGCGUUUGACACCAGUGUUGUUUUCUCGAAAAUCAAUUAAAAAUGGCUCGAUUUUGUAUUGCUUGAGACCUUAAAAGCUCACUGUACAUUUUUCGUGUCUUUUUUAAUGCACUUUUCGUUUAACAAGUCAACAUCAGUUUCCUUUGUUGUAAAAGGGUCAUUGGAAGGUGGCUUUCUUUUCGGAGAAAGUGUUUAUAGCCUUUGGCCUCUGCAAUCGAAGAGACUGAGGUCUGCAGCGUAGACUCUUCGGGGUUAGAUACAUUUAUGCUAAGUUAUAGCUUUUUAUAGACAACUUGUUGACUAUAAUUAGUCUUGUAGCUUACUCGCUUAUGCUAUUUUACCUACGCUUAGGAUGUUGAUAGUCACAGCGUGUAC
rnacentral:rRNA from 1 species